AUUUAAAUACAUCUUAUGUUGAGGUUCAAC
rnacentral:other from 1 species